rnacentral:rRNA from 1 species
AACGAACGCUGGCGGCAUGCCUAACACAUGCAAGUCGAACGAGACCUUCGGGUCUAGUGGCGCACGGGUGCGUAACGCGUGGGAACCUGCCCUUAGGUUCGGAAUAACUCCCCGAAAGGGGUGCUAAUACCGGAUAAUGUCUUCGGACCAAAGAUUUAUCGCCUUUGGAUGGGCCCGCGUUGGAUUAGCUAGUUGGUAGGGUAAAAGCCUACCAAGGCGACGAUCCAUAGCUGGUCUGAGAGGAUGAUCAGCCACACUGGGACUGAGACACAGCCCAGACUCCUACGGGGAGCAGCAGUGGGGAAUAUUGGACAAUGGGCGAAAGCCUGAUCCAGCAAUGCCGCGUGAGUGAUGAAGGCCUUAGGGUUGUAAAGCUCUUUUACCCGGGAUGAUAAUGACAGUACCGGGAGAAUAAGCUCCGGCUAACUCCGUG